ACCAGUCCAAUGCUCGUUCGGAGCCCACUGCAUAGCUGGCGAAUGUGUUUGUCCGUCCGACUGUACCAGCGCUCUCCGAGAGCCAGUCUGUGGGAGCACCAUGCAGACCUACCCCAACGAAUGUGAACUGCAGAAAGCUGCCUGUAAACUACAACCACCUAACAAACUCCACGUCAUCUUCUACGGAGACUGCAAGGACAGGCUCGCUGUCGUCCCGCCUAUUGCUAUGACUACGACCGCGAUGACCACAACAGAGGCCGAGGAGGGUUCAACGGAUUCCUUAGGUGCAACCGAGGGUACCGCCAACCCAUCAGCCUGUCGCGAUAUCCGCUGCGACUUCGACGCCAGCUGUGAGAUCGGUUUCGAUGGUUACCCACGGUGCUCUUGCUUGUUCGAAUGCCCAAUCGAUGAUGAAUACUUCCCGGUGUGUGCGUCAGACUUUCGGCUGUAUCCGAGUUUGUGCGCCAUGAGGAAGGAAGGCUGCCAAAAGCAGUUGGAGCUUAGAUUAAGGCCUUUGGAUCUGUGUAAAGGUAUGGAAGUGAGGCCCUGCGGUAAUAACAAGGCAAUGAUAGAUACGUCAACGGGACUCGAAAUCGACUGCGGCAACGGCCCGCACCGCCAGGACUGCCCGACGGGGAGUUACUGCCACAUAACGCUAACUGCCGCAAGAUGCUGCCCCAAAAACGAUACAAAACAAGUGGAUGAAAGGAAGAUUGUACACUGCUCUGAGAGUGCUUAUGGUUGCUGUUCGGACGGAUCGACCCCCGCAUCGGGCCCGGCUGAAGAGGGCUGCCCAAUUACAACUUCGACUUGCGGUUGCAAUCGUCUGGGAUCAGUGUCGGAUCGCUGCGAUGAUGGUGGGCAGUGUGUUUGUCGCCCGGGGGUGGGGGGCCUUAAGUGCGAUAGAUGCGAGCCCGGAUAUUGGGGACUGCCUCGGAUAGGCUCCGGACACACGGGAUGCAUUCCGUGUGGUUGUUCAGCAUUUGGUUCAGUAAGGGAAGACUGUGAGCAAAUGACCGGUCGCUGCGUAUGUCGCCCCGGCGUGCAAGGCCAGAAGUGUACAGUGUGCGCCGACCACCGACGCCGCUUAGGCCCUAACGGCUGCUCUGAUCCGGAAAUAGGCGGUAUAUUGGAGUCAUGCGCAGAUUUGUCUUGCUAUUUCGGUGCAGUGUGCACUGAACGUACUGGAGGCGCUCUGUGUGAGUGUGCAGCUGCACCUUGUCCUGAUAACGAUCUCAAUAUGCUUGUAUGCGGGAGCGACGGCAAGACUUACGAGUCGGAGUGUCACUUGAAACUGCAGGCGUGUCGCACGCAAGAGGACGUUGUCGUACAAGCGUUCGGUCCCUGCAAGUUGUCCGAAGUGGCCGGCACGGCCGGACCGCCUCGGCCUUCGUCUCCCAUACAAUUCACACAACAAGACGAUGGGGCCGCUUCAAAAUCAACAAGACAUUUACUAAACCCCGACAAGUACUACAACAAGUAUGAUUGGACGAGGAAGGAGACGCCCAGCGAUUUCGAUAACAUUCUAUUAGGACAGAAAAUAAAAGGUUCACAAACCGCAACCACCGCUACCGUAGGGGCAGUGGGUGCGCUUCUAGGGGAUCUUUGUACUGAGGACGCCGACUGCGCUGCCUUGCCUGGUGCUUAUUGUGCUCGAGGGGGGUGCGUGUGCCGCCAGGGAUACACUCCCACUGUACAUAGAAAAGCUUGCAUUGAACAAUUAACGCAAGAAACCACUGAAGAAUACAGUGCAUGCCUGUCAGAACCGUGCUAUAAUUUUGGCACAUGUAUAGACUUACCCGGCUCUACCUACACUUGCGUGUGUUCUGAUCUACACACAGGCGUCAACUGCGAAUCUCCUAUCAAAGAUGGUUCGCCAAUUACUUACAUCGAAACUCCAUCCUUUGACGGUACAUCAUAUAUUCGCCUAAAACCACUGAAGGCUUACCAUAAGUUGAACAUCGAUAUCGAAUUUAAGGCAUUCUCCGAAAAUGGGGUUAUAUUGUACAAUCAGCAGAAACCCGACGGUACGGGUGAUUUCGUUUCGCUCGCCUUGGUAAAUGGAUAUUUGGAGUUCAGGUAUAAUCUUGGAAAUGGAGUAAUAAUACUAACGUCCCUCGAAAAGAUUACACUAAACGAAUAUCAUAAGGUGUCAGCAAAAAGAUAUCACCGGGACGGUAUUUUAUCAGUCGAUGAUAUGGAGGAUGUCGCCGGACAGUCGAGCGGUAAUCUAAAGGCCUUGGAUCUUUCUGAAGAUGCCUAUAUUGGUAGUGUUCCUGCAAAUUAUUCCAGGGUAUUCGACAAUAUAGGUACGAGGAGUGGCUUUAUUGGCUGUAUAAGGUAUCUGAGGAUAAUACGCCAUCAAGUGACAAAGAAAUUGGGUCGUCCGGACUCAUUAGUGGUGUCUAUAGAGAAGGUUCGAGAGUGUCAAUCUAAUCCGUGUAUGAGUAUGCCGUGUAGGAACGGGGCCACGUGUGGGUCUGUCGAGGGGUCGGCUACCGAAUAUACAUGUAGCUGUGCUAUCGGAUUCCAAGGAGCCAAUUGCGACGAGAGAUUAGAUCCAUGCGAAUCUAAUCCCUGCGGGUAUGAUGAGGGGCUAUUGUGCGACAUCGGCCCGAAUGGUGGACACGUUUGUCGCUGUUUGUUCGGUGAUAUUGAUUCGAACGGAAAUACCUGUAACAACGACGUGAACGUAUUACAAGAGAGUUGGUCGCCACAGUUCAACGGGACGAGUUACGUCGAGUUACAGCCACUCGAAGGCCUGGGGAAGGCGUUUCGCAUCGAAAUUUGGUUUUUAACGAACCGUUUUUCCGGAAUGCUCCUCUACACCGGCCAGUCCAAUAAAGCCAAGGGGGAUUUUAUAGCGAUUAACUUAGUUAAUGGGUACCUACAGUUUAGGUACAAUUUGGGGAGCGGAAUCGCCAAUAUCACAUCUCCUGUGCCAAUAACAAAAGGACGCUGGCACAGAGCGCGCGCUACUCGAGUUGGUCGCCACGGCAGUCUGCAACUCGACCACCAUCCAACACAAAGGGGGAAUUCCGCACCGCCGCUGACACACCUAGAACUAACGUUACCAUUGUUUAUUGGGUCUUUACCCGCUUACGUCCGUCCCCACAAAAUGUCCGGCGUGACCAGCAGUUUCAUAGGCGCAGUGCAACAGGUCUUCGUGAACGGCAAUCCCCUAGCGCUGUAUAGUGGAGACACGGCCAAGUGUUCCGUUGUGGCCGACGAAGAUCAACUGCCGUGCGCUACGAGCGGUGUUUCUAAGUACAUUGGACCGCCUUGCGGGUCAGGUAUCACUCCUUGCAAAAACAAUGGUUCGUGCAUACCUUUACUGAACGAAUACAAAUGUAUAUGCCCGGAUGGGUACCAGGGAAGGAACUGCGAGGUGCAAUUAAAAGUAGAGAUGUUAAACGACGGCGCGCCUAUUAAGUUCGACGGAAAUAAUUACUAUUCCUACCGUAGCCGGGGUGGCCGUAGCUUACAAACUAACACUGAGGUCGGUGAAGGACAUUACGAUGUAAGAUAGCAUUUGAAGGCCCUCGAUAAUGCCGUUAGAUAUAAGUUUUAUUGAAACUACCCUACAUUUUAAGAUAGAUUAGGAAUCGAGGCCCCCGUGGUAUUAGAUACGAAAUAAAAUUCCGUACUCAUAAUGAUUCUGGCUUGUUGAUGUGGAGACGAAAGAU
rnacentral:misc_RNA from 1 species